UUCUGUGUUCAAGAAACAAAAGAAACAUCCAAGUUCAUGGUUACACAACACCUCCUAGUAUUUGAACAACCAAAAAUAUACAUUGAAACAUAAACUAUUAAUAAGCAAUAUCUUCAAAUUUUUCCUCUUCUUCAAUUCAGCCUCAAGUUCCAUUUCAUCCUUCUAUAAGCCAAAAAUUAAUAUCGUUGAUUGGCCAGAAAUUUUGAAUCAUACCACUGAAAAAACCACAUGCCACACGAUCCUUGGCCUGAAAAUUUUAAACAAACCAUUAAUAAAAGAAAUGAAAUCGUAGCCAUAAUAUAUCACAUAAAAUAUAAUGAUUUAAAGAUGAUUACCCCAUAAUACUUGCAUAAAAACCGUCUUCAUGGGUUAGCAUUUGUCAUUGACGUUCUAAAAAAAGCAGGUUGUCCAAAACCACCAAUGACAUUAAACCUCAGACUCUUCUCCAAAUAUUUAAAAUGAUAUUUUUCUUUCAAAUAAAUUUGGGUAACAAUGAAGGAUGGAUAAAAUGAGAAAGAUAAAAAUAAACUCCAUCAACAAAGAGAGAAUUUCAAAUGGAUUAAGAUGAAGAAGGUGAAGAAAUGAAGAAGAAAGGUGAAAA
rnacentral:lncRNA from 1 species